ensembl:lncRNA
GUCUUUAAGUCCUGUAAGUUGCGAGGUGGGGCCUCCAUGGAUCGGACCUGUUUGUCCAGGACAUCCCACAUAUGCUCGAUUGGAUUGAGAUCUGAGGAAUUUGGAGGCCAAGUCAACACCUUUAACUCCUUGUUUGGUUCCUCAAACCAUUCCUGAACCAUUUUUGCUUUGUAGCAGGGCACAUUGUUAGAAAAUUAUUUAGCUUCAAAUGACCAUUCUGUAAUAAUAAAUCUGAUUGCCUUGACAAAUCAAGCAAGCCUCCUCUACCUCCAGCCAACAUGCUACUUUUAAUCAACCGCAUUCAUUCAGUCUCGCAACUAGUGAUUUCUGGAUGCCCAACAACCUGCCUCCUACACCCCAUCACCUACUUUCUUCUCCAUACACUCUCUGAAGGCCUCCCAUUCUUCACUUCAACUCACUGACCACUGGCUGCGUUCCCUCGAAAAUCCAGAAAGCAACACUUGACCAUCUGAUGUCAAAAACAACAGACAGCUAUUCAGAUUCUCCUCCGUCUCUGGACUGUGGGCUUCUCAGGCUCUGCACACACUUAGAUUGCUCACUACCUGGGAGGCCGCCCCCGUUCCAGGUGUUCACGAGAGGAUCUGCUCUGCGGGCUGUCACUACUGUGUCCCUAGACUUCGGUUCUAUGCACUUACAACUACUGGCUCUAUUUAUCCCAGCUUGCUAUCUUAAAAUGAAUGCACGCC